UAGGGAAUCUUCGGCAAUGGACGAAAGUCUGACCGAGCAACGCCGCGUGAGUGAAGAAGGUUUUCGGAUCGUAAAACUCUGUUGGUAGAGAAGAACGUUGGUGAGAGUGGAAAGCUCAUCAAGUGACGGUAACUACCCAGAAAGGGACGGCUAACUACGUGCCAGCAGCCGCGGUAAUACGUAGGUCCCCGAGCGUUGUCCGGAUUUAUUGGGCGUAAAGCGAGCGCAGGUGGUUUAUUAAGUCUGGUGUAAAAGGCAGUGGCUCAACCAUUGUAUGCAUUGGAAAACUGGUAGAC
rnacentral:rRNA from 1 species